rnacentral:rRNA from 1 species
CACAGUAAAGAUUUCGGUCUUUAUGGGUGGCGAGUGGCGGACGGGUGAGUAACGCGUAGGAAUCUGUCCUGGAGCGUGGGAUAACCCGAGGAAACUCGGGCUAAUACCGCAUGAUAUCGAGAGAUCAAAAGCAGGGGACCGAAAGGCCUUGCGCUCUGGGGUGAGCCUACGUCGGAUUAGCUAGUUGGUGGGGUAAAAGCCUACCAAGGCGACGAUCCGUAGCUGGUCUGAGAGGAUGACCAGCCACACUGGGACUGAGACACGGCCCAGACUCCUACGGGAGGCAGCAGUGGGGAAUCUUGGACAAUGGGGGCAACCCUGAUCCAGCGAUGCCGCGUGUGUGAAGAAGGCCUUCGGG